GGCUCGUUGGUCUAGGGGUAUGAUUCUUGCUUCGGGAGCGAGAGGUCCCAGGUUCAAAUCCCGGACGAGCCC
rnacentral:tRNA from 1 species